UGGGGAAUAUUGGACAAUGGGGGCAACCCUGAUCCAGCGAUGCCGCGUGUGCGAAGAAGGCCUGCGGGUUGUAAAGCACUUUGAGUGGGGAAGAAAGGCUCAAGUCGAAUAGGCUUGAGAGUUGACGUUACCCACAGAACAAGCACCGGCUAACUCUGUGCCAGCAGCCGCGGUAAUACAGAGGGUGCGAGCGUUAAUCGGAAUUACUGGGCGUAAAGGGCGCGUAGGCGGAUUAUUAAGUUAGAUGUGAAAUCCCUGGGCUUAACCUGGGAAUGGCAUUUAAUACUGGUGGUCUAGAGUAGAGUAGAGGGAAGUGGAAUUUCCGGUGUAGCGGUGAAAUGCGUAGAGAUCGGAAAGAACACCAGUGGCGAAGGCGGCUUCCUGGACUCAUACUGACGCUGAGGCGCGAAAGCGUGGGGAGCAAACAGG
rnacentral:rRNA from 1 species